GACGGAGGAUGCAAGCGUUAUCCGGAAUGAUUGGGCGUAAAGCGUCCGCAGGUGGCAGUUCAAGUCUGCGGUCAAAGACUGGGGCUUAACCCUGGAAAGGCCGUGGAAACUGAAUAGCUAGAGUGCAGUAGGGGUAGAGGGAAUUCCCGGCGUAGCGGUGAAAUGCGUAGAGCUCGGGAAGAACAUCGGUGGCGAAAGCGCUCUGCUGGACUGCAACUGACACUCAGGGACGAAAGCUAGGGGAGCGAAUGGG
rnacentral:rRNA from 1 species